rfam:Cavia porcellus supercont2_111 genomic scaffold, whole genome shotgun sequence.
GGGGACUUAGCUCAGCAGCAUAAGCACCUGCCUUGCAAGCAGGCAGUCGUGGGUUAGAUCCCCAGUACCCA